GGCCUCGGAGUUAGGGUUCCUAGCGAGCCCAACCUCCCACCCGUGUUUACUGUACCUUAGUUGCUUCGGCGGGCCCGCCAUUCAUGGCCGCCGGGGGCUCUCAGCCCCGGGCCCGCGCCCGCCGGAGACACCACGAACUCUGUCUGAUCUAGUGAAGUCUGAGUUGAUUGUAUCGCAAUCAGUUAAAACUUUCAACAAUGGAUCUCUUGGUUCCGGCAUCGAUGAAGAACGCAGCGAAAUGCGAUAACUAGUGUGAAUUGCAGAAUUCCGUGAAUCAUCGAGUCUUUGAACGCACAUUGCGCCCCCUGGUAUUCCGGGGGGCAUGCCUGUCCGAGCGUCAUUGCUGCCCAUCAAGCACGGCUUGUGUGUUGGGUCGUCGUCCCCUCUCCGGGGGGGACGGGCCCCAAAGGCAGCGGCGGCACCGCGUCCGAUCCUCGAGCGUAUGGGGCUUUGUCACCCGCUCUGUAGGCCCGGCCGGCGCUUGCCGAACGCAAAUCAAUCUUUUUCCAGGUUGACCUCGGAUCAGGUAGGGAUACCCGCUGAACUUAAGCAUAUCAAUAAGCGGAGGAA
rnacentral:rRNA from 1 species